UUUAGGAACAAAUUUCAGGGAACUUAUUCCCUUUUUUUGAAAAGGAGUCUGACCUCCAUGUCAUUAGUUAUUUAGGAACAACCGUCAUAACUUUUCGAUUUUUCAUGAUUCCUUCGACACUUCAUGACGUGUCCGAAGAAUAACACGUGGUUGAUCCCCAUAUGGGAUGUUUUCUCUUGAAAUUUAAAUGCAUAGUCAUACUAACUAAAU
rnacentral:lncRNA from 1 species